GACUGAAAAUCUUUGUGUCGAUGGUUCAAAUCCAUCUCCAGACA
rnacentral:tRNA from 1 species